GACGAACGCUGACGGCGUGCUUAACACACGCAAGUCGAAGGGAGUGGCGAACGGGUGAGUAACACGUGAGUAACCUGCCCUUUUCUUUGGGAUAAGCCUGGGAAACUGGGUCUAAUACUGGAUGGAUUGGGAUGGGCUCGCGGCUUAUCAGCUUGUUGGUGGGGUGAUGGCUUACCAAGGCUUUGACGGGUAGCCGGCCUGAGAGGGGGGUCGGGCACACUGGGACGGAGAUAACGCCCAUGCUACUAAGGGAGGGAGCAGUGGGGGAUAUUGGACAAAGGAUGAAAGACUGAUGCAGCGACGUCGUGUGGGGGAUGAAGGCCUUCGGGUUGUAAACUCCUUUCGCCCGCGGAAUGGUAGUGGGUAAAGAAGCGCCGGCUAACUACGUGCCAGCAGCCGCGGUAAUAC
rnacentral:rRNA from 1 species